rnacentral:rRNA from 1 species
CAGUAGCCGCGGUAAUACGUAGGGUGCAAGCGUUAAUCGGAAUUACUGGGCGUAAAGCGUGCGCAGGCGGUUUGUUAAGACAGAUGUGAAAUCCCCGGGCUCAACCUGGGAACUGCAUUUGUGACUGGCAAGCUAGAGUAUGGCAGAGGGGGGUGGAAUUCCGCGUGUGGCAGUGAAAUGCGUAGAUAUGCGGAGGAACACCGAUGGCGAAGGCAGCCACCUGGGCCAAUACUGACGCUGAGGCACGAAAGCGUGGGGAGCAAACAGGAUUAGAUACCCGCGUAGUCCCUGUCUCUUAUAA